rnacentral:lncRNA from 1 species
AAGUUGUACAGUUGUAAGUUCAUAAAUAAUAAUGAAGCUUCUGUUGGCAACAUAAGUUAUGUUUAAACCGUAGCAUUUAAACUCAGCUUUUUACUGAACAAGUGCUUAAAAAGAGGAAAGACAAAGUGGAGAGAGUACAACCUCAGAUAAAACUGCUGUUAUCAGCUGUUUGGGGAAUGGUAGUUUCCUACAAUUGAAAUGAAAGCAAACAGGUGGUUCAAGUCAUGUGCUAUCUAUAAUACCACUUCUAAACAAAUCAGUGUGGGGAAGCUUCUGAAUCCCCUCUGAAUCUUGCAAUAGCUGGAAAAACAGAGACCAAAGCAUGCUUGUAAUUAAAACAAGCUCCAGAGAAAAGUCAACAGACAUUCCUAUUUGCCUUUGCAUUUGAUCCUAAAGACUUUAACCUGGCAUAGAUAUGUUAAUUCAUACUUUUUAGGGUACAAACGUCACACAAAUGUCAGAGUGGUUUGAUGAAAAUGUAAUGGUGCUUCUGACUCUCUGAACAGAAGACAAGGCCAGGCAUGACCUGAUGUUCUGUAAGCUGGUGUUGCUGGGAGAAGAGAAUGUGUGUCACAAAUACCACCUAGUCUCUGAGGUCUUCCACAACCUACAAGGGCAAUCCAUUGACAGGCUUGUUCCCUAAUGUUGAAAUACUGGUGGGAAAACGCUGGUAGUGCAAGAUUGAGGCUGGCAAUGCUUUAACUCUUUAACUGUGCCUCAUUCAACUCUUGUUAAGUUUGAAAUGGAGUUUCCACCUGUUCCAGAUGAUACUGAAAACCUCCAAAAUGAAGUUCUCCAAGGCCUUCUGUCCUUCAAGGGCUUUGACAUAAAAGGCUCCAACUUAUUAGAGGGGCUGCAGAAGAUCUAGGUGAGCAGGACUUCAGUAUAUCCCGAGGUUAAAAUACUGUCUGAAAUAGCCUCCUGAAAAAGUCCUCCUCCUCCCCUUCUUUUUACUCUGUAGAGGAGAGAGCUGCACCACAUGAUUUUCACAGGUACAAUUUAUUUACAUGCAAAAUUCACGUCCUGCUUAUCCGUACAGCCAGCUGACAGAUGCUUGUUAGCAGGUGAAAAGACGGCUACUUGUUAAAGUGCAGCUGCCUCGAUAUUUUUUUGCCAGCUGCAUAUCAGGCACCACCUGGCAGGAAUUUAUUCAUUAGAUAUUACUUUAAAAAACAGCAACGUNUAGUCAUAAUUUCUCUAUAUUUAAAGGGAUCAGGUGUGAUACCACUAAAGUCACUGGUAGGAAUAAAUUCGUAGGAAAAGCUGAAUUAGUUUCCAUAAGGAAUAAGAG